UGGCUAUAUUUAUGGAAGGAGUGGAACUCUUCUGUCGCCCGGUUUUCCUGAUUUUUAUCCCAAUUCUUUAAACUGUACAUGGACAAUUGAAGUUUCUCAUGGCAAAGGUGUUCAACUGAUCUUCCACACUUUUCACCUGGAGAGCUCCCAUGACUAUUUGCUCAUCACGGAAGAUGGAGGCUUUACGGAACCUGUGGCAAGAUUAACAGGAUCUGUUUUACCUCCAGCCAUUAAAGCUGGGCUCUUUGGAAACUUCACUGCACAACUUCGAUUCAUCUCUGACUUUUCCAUCUCCUAUGAAGGCUUUAAUAUAACCUUUUCAGAAUAUGACCUGGAGCCUUGCGAUGACCCUGGAGUUCCUGCCUUCAGUCGGCGCAUAGGCUUCCAUUUUGAAGUGGGAGAUUCCUUGACGUUUUCUUGUUUCCCUGGAUAUCGUUUGGAAGGUGCGAGCAAGUUGACCUGUCUCGGCGGUGGCCGCCGUGUAUGGAGUGCACCUCUGCCAA